CCUACGGGAGACAGCAGUAGGGGAUCUUCCACAAUGGGCGAAAGCCUGAUGCAGCAACGCCGCGUGGGUGAAGAAGGUCUUCGGAUCGUAAACCCCUGUUGUUAGUGAAGAUAGUGAGUGUGAGUAACUGUUAACGUUUCGCCGGCAUCUAACCAGCAACCGACGGCUAACUACGUGCCAGCAGCCGCGGUAAUUCGUCGGGGGCUAGCGUUUGCCGGAUUUAUUGGGCGUAAAGGGAGCGUAGGCGGUCUUGUAAGUCAGAUGUGAAAGCCAUGGGCUUAACCGGAGUAGUGCAUUGGAAACUGGGAGGCUUGAGUGCAGUAGAGGAAGGAGGAACUCCAUGUGUAGCGGUGAAAUGCGUAGAGAUAUGGAAGAACACCAGUGGCGAAGGCGGCUCUCUGGUCUGUAACUGACGCUGAGGUUCGAAAGCGUGGGUAGCAAACAGGAUUAGAUACCCGUGUAGUC
rnacentral:rRNA from 1 species